CAGGAGGCAGCAGUACGGAAUAUUGCGCAAUGGACGACAGUCUGACGCAGCGACGCCGCGUGAAGGAAGAAGGCCUUCGGGUUGUAAACUUCUUUUUUAGGGGACGACUGUGACGGUACCCUAAGAAUAAGGGCCUGCUAACUACGUGCCAGCAGCAGCGGUAAUACGUAGGGCCCGAGCGUUAUCCGGAUUUAUUGGGCGUAAAGAGUAUGUAGGCGGUUUGGUAAGUUGGGUUUUAAAGGCCCGGGCUCAACUCGGGUUUUGGAUCCAAAACUGCCUUUCUAGAGAAUAGCAGGGGCAAGCGGAAUUAGCGGUGUAGCAGUGAAAUGCGUUGAUAUCGCUAAGAACACCAAUGGCGAAGGCAGCUUGCUAGGUUAUUUCUGACGCUGAGAUACGAAAGCGUGGGGAGCGAACGGGAUUAGAUACCCGGGUAGUCCA
rnacentral:rRNA from 1 species